rnacentral:rRNA from 1 species
GAUGAACGCUGGCGGCGUGCCUAAUACAUGCAAGUCGAGCGAACAGAUGAGGAGCUUGCUCCUCUGACGUUAGCGGCGGACGGGUGAGUAACACGUGGAUAACCUACCUAUAAGACUGGGAUAACUUCGGGAAACCGGAGCUAAUACCGGAUAAUAUAUUGAACCGCAUGGUUCAAUAGUGAAAGACGGUUUUGCUGUCACUUAUAGAUGGAUCCGCGCCGCAUUAGCUAGUUGGUAAGGUAACGGCUUACCAAGGCAACGAUGCGUAGCCGACCUGAGAGGGUGAUCGGCCACACUGGAACGGAGACACGGUCCAGACUCCUACGGGAGGCAGCAGUAGGGAAUCUUCCGCAAUGGGCGAAAGCCUGACGGAGCAACGCCGCGUGAGUGAUGAAGGUCUUCGGAUCGUAAAAAUCUGUUAUUAGGGAAGAACAAAUGUGUAAGUAACUAUGCACGUCUUGACGGUACCUAAUCAGAAAGCCACGGCUAACUACGUG